rnacentral:lncRNA from 1 species
GCCGCGUCCGCCACCGCGGCUACUCGGACACCGAGCGCUACCUGUACUGCCGCGCCAUGGACCGCACCUCCUACGCGGUGGAGACUGGCCACCGGCCGGGCCUGAAGAAAUCCAGGAUGUCCUGGCCCUCCUCGUUCCAGGGACUCAGGCGUCUAGCAGCAGUGGUGAGCUGCCUUCAGUAA